GCCUCAGAAAAGGUUCUCCAACAUUAAGAUGGUGCUACCAAAAUCGGGUUGCCUGGUCACCCUAUCACAGUCGCACCCAGAAGAAAAGCAGCUGACUUAUCUGGAACUUUAAGAGUGAUCCAGAUCAGAUAUGGAACAUUCCUUUUUCCAGAAUGUCCUUAUUCUCCUGUCUCCAUGAAUUAUAAGGAGUGGACUCAAAGCAGAGAAGCGGUUGAUCAUCAGGAAUGAACUGAAGGCUGAAAAGGCCAUGCUGCUUCUCAUCUUUCUGCUCAACAAGAGCAAGGGAAAGAAGGGAGGAGGAAUGUAGAACAUCAGCC
rnacentral:lncRNA from 1 species